CGAGCGGACAGAAGGGAGCUUGCUCCCGGAUGUUAGCGGCGGACGGGUGAGUAACACGUGGGUAACCUGCCUGUAAGACUGGGAUAACUCCGGGAAACCGGAGCUAAUACCGGAUAGUUCCUUGAACCGCAUGGUUCAAGGAUGAAAGACGGUUUCGGCUGUCACUUACAGAUGGACCCGCGGCGCAUUAGCUAGUUGGUGGGGUAAUGGCUCACCAAGGCGACGAUGCGUAGCCGACCUGAGAGGGUGAUCGGCCACACUGGGACUGAGACACGGCCCAGACUCCUACGGGAGGCAGCAGUAGGGAAUCUUCCGCAAUGGACGAAAGUCUGACGGAGCAACGCCGCGUGAGUGAUGAAGGUUUUCGGAUCGUAAAGCUCUGUUGUUAGGGAAGAACAAGUGCGAGAGUAACUGCUCGCACCUUGACGGUACCUAACCAGAAAGCCACGGCUAACUACGUGCCAGCAGCCGCGGUAAUACGUAGGUGGCAAGCGUUGUCCGGAAUUAUUGGGCGUAAAGGGCUCGCAGGCGGUUUCUUAAGUCUGAUGUGAAAGCCCCCGGCUCAACCGGGGAGGGUCAUUGGAAACUGGGAAACUUGAGUGCAGAAGAGGAGAGUGGAAUUCCACGUGUAGCGGUGAAAUGCGUAGAGAUGUGGAGGAACACCAGUGGCGAAGGCGACUCUCUGGUCUGUAACUGACGCUGAGGAGCGAAAGCGUGGGGAGCGAACAGGAUUAGAUACCCUGGUAGUCCACGCCGUAAACGAUGAGUGCUAAGUGUGAGGGGG
rnacentral:rRNA from 1 species